rnacentral:rRNA from 1 species
GUGUCAGCAGCCGCGGUAAUACGGAGGGGGCUAGCGUUGUUCGGAUUUACUGGGCGUAAAGCGCACGUAGGCGGACUGGCCAGUCAGGGGUGAAAGGCCUGGGCUCAACCCGGGAACUGCCUUUGAUACUGCCAGUCUCGAGUCCGGGAGAGGUAAGCGGAAUUCCAAGUGUAGAGGUGAAAUUCGUAGAUAUUUGGAAGAACACCAGUGGCGAAGGCGGCUUACUGGACCGGUACUGACGCUGAGGUGCGAAAGCGUGGGGAGCGAACAGGAUUAGAUACCCUGGUAGUCCACGCCGUAAACGAUGAGUGCUAGUUGUCGGGAGUUCGGCUUUCGGUGACGCAGCCAACGCGUUAAGCACUCCGCCUGGGGAGUACGGCCGCAAGGUUAAAACUUAAAUGAAUUGGCGGGG